rnacentral:rRNA from 1 species
UACGGAAGGGGCUAGCGUUGUUCGGAAUCAUUGGGCGUAAAGCGCGUGUAGGCGGUCCGGUAAGUCCGCUGUGAAAGUCGAGGGCUCAACCCUCGAAUGCCGGUGGAUACUGUCGGGCUUGAGUACGGGAGAGGCGAGUGGAAUUCCUGGUGUAGCGGUGAAAUGCGCAGAUAUCAGGAGGAACACCGAUUGCGAAGGCAGCUCGCUGGAACGUUACUGACGCUGAGACGCGAAAGCGUGGGGAGCAAACAGG